AUUGAACGCUGGCGGCAGGCCUAACACAUGCAAGUCGAGCGGAUGAAGGGAGCUUGCUCCUGGAUUCAGCGGCGGACGGGUGAGUAAUGCCUAGGAAUCUGCCUGGUAGUGGGGGAUAACGUCCGGAAACGGGCGCUAAUACCGCAUACGUCCUGAGGGAGAGAGUGGGGGAUCUUCGGACCUCACGCUAUCAGAUGAGCCUAGGUCGGAUUAGCUAGUUGGUGGGGUAAAGGCCUACCAAGGCGACGAUCCGUAACUGGUCUGAGAGGAUGAUCAGUCACACUGGAACUGAGACACGGUCCAGACUCCUACGGGAGGCAGCAGUAGGGAAUAUUGGACAAUGGGCGAAAGCCUGAUCCAGCCAUGCCGCGUGUGUGAAGAAGGUCUUCGGAUUGUAAAGCACUUUAAGUUGGGAGGAAGGGCAGUAAGUUAAUACCUUGCUGUUUUGACGUUACCAACAGAAUAAGCACCGGCUAACUUCGUG
rnacentral:rRNA from 1 species